AUUGAACGCUGGCGGCAUGCCUAACACAUGCAAGUCGAACGGUAACAGGGGCUUCGGCCCGCUGACGAGUGGCGGACGGGUGAGUAACGCGUAGGAAUCUUCCCAGUAGCGGGGGAUAGCUCGGCGAAAGCCGGAUUAAUACCGCAUACGCCUACGGGGAAAGCAGGGAUCGUAAGACCUUGCACUAUUGGAUGAGCCUACGUCUGAUUAGCUAGUUGGUAGGGUAAAGGCCUACCAAGGCGACGAUCAGUAGCUGGUCUGAGAGGACGGUCAGCCACACUGGGACUGAGACACGGCCCAGACUCCUACGGGNGGCAGCAGUGGGGAAUAUUGGACAAUGGGCGCAAGCCUGAUCCAGCAAUGCCGCGUGUGUGAAGAAGGCCUGC
rnacentral:rRNA from 1 species